GAUGAAGAACGCAGCGAAAUGCGAUAAGUAAUGUGAAUUGCAGAAUUCAGUGAAUCAUCGAAUCUUUGAACGCAUCUUGCGCUCCUUGGUAUUCUGAGGAGCAUGCCUGUUUGAGUGUCAUUAAAUUCUCAACUACACUGACUUUGAAUUGGUGUGGCUUGGAUUUGGGGGGAAAAUUGUUGUGGGCUUUUUGUAUAGUCUGCUCCCCUGAAAUUGAUUAGCGGUACCUUUGUGGAACUGUCUACAGGUGUGAUAAUUAUCUACAUCUUAGACAUCUGCUGGAAUGCUGCUUUCUAAACCUUACUUGUAUUGACAAUCUUGACCUCGGAUCAGGUAGGAAUACCCGCUGAACUUAAGCAUAUCAAUAAGCGGAGGA
rnacentral:misc_RNA from 1 species